UAACCUCCUCACCAUAAAUCUUCUUCAUCUCCUCAUUCCUCUGAGCAUCAUCUGUCGUCUCCUUGAGGCCAACGUGGACCUUCAUCUGAGGGGAAUAUUCUUGGGACAGGAGUGAAUUUUCUAGUUCAGACAGGACGACAGGUUCAGACGCCAAUUGAACUGUUGACGUUUGAACGCUAGUGUCGCAUCACAGGUUUUUCAACCGAUCAGGCGAGAUUUUUAUUCAACAUAAUGGAGAUAAAAUCAACAAAAUCGACAAGUGGCGCUGGUAAUUAAGAAGAGGUAGUUAAAGGGUGCCAUUAAAGCAACAUGCGUCUCUUACAUGUGCUGUCAC